rnacentral:lncRNA from 1 species
AUCGAUGCUGCCAGCACUUGCCCAGCCCCAGGUGUGCCCAGGACUGGGUGCUGCGGCAGCGCCACAUACUCACUUUACUCGACAGACACGAUGAGCUUCCCCCACCGCUCGGCUGUCCCCAUGGGGCCACUGCAGGACUUGAAUAUGAGUAAGUCCCUGAGAGAGCUUCUGGCUACUCAGUCUGCUGUUUCCUCACUGAUCCGGGGUGGGGGGGGGAACCGGGUGCCCAAAGGUGCAUUGGACCUGCCUGUCUCCCCAGCUCAGAGCCUGGGGACAUGUGGCACAAGCUACCCCUGCAGGGCUGGGAACCACAGAAGGGCCAGGGAUGUGGUGGACAAGAGAGAGGCGCCUUUGACCACAGCCCGCAGCAUGAAGACAGCAGGAAGAGUGUGAGCCGCUCUCAGGAGGAAGGAGGGGGCCUUGAAUAUUUUCUGAGGCCUCAUUUUACCCGCCGGGUCCUCGGAACAUGAAGCAGCUCAGUUGUAAACUAGUCUGGUGGAGAAGGCCACAAGGCUGGAACUCGGAACCCUGAAAAUCUUCCACCGCUGCCUUGCUGUGUGUCUUGGGACAAGUUGCUCACCCUCUCUGGGCUCAAUAGUAAAAAAUGGAGACGGAGGGACUAGAGGCCUGGCAAGUGUUUCCUUUCAUCUUCCCAGGGAGGGUCAGCCCAUUCCAGGGGGCUGUGGGCAUCUCUGGAGAGACUUACCCCUUUGGCUUCAGUGCACGUCCUGAGGAAGCUGUGUCUGGAUCUGGGGAGCUGCUGGCAGAGGCUGAGCUGGGACAUCUAAGGCCCGUGUGGACGUGCAGCGGCACCUGAGGACUUGGAGGGAGUCUCAAGAUGAGCCUUGGGCCUCCCUUUAAGGAGGUUGCAUCACUGUUUCAUGGGCGGGGCCGGAAGGGGGCACUGGGCCCAUGUCACUCCAUAGUUGCAGUUUGCUGUCAACAGAGGCAUCUUGUUCACUAAAUAAUAAGCUCUAAAUAAAAAUGGCAAUAAUAUCUUCCUCGUUGGUGAC